GCUCGUAGUUGGAUUUCGGGUGCGGCAGGCCGGUCCGCCGUUUCGGUGUGCACUGGCAGGCGGCAUCUUUCUGUCGAGGACGUGCUCCUGGUCUUAACGGAUCGGGGCGCGGAGUCGGCGCAGUUACAUUGAAAAAAUUAGAGUGUUCAAAGCGGGCCUACGCUUGAAUAUAUUAGCAUGGAAUAACACCAUAGGACUCCUGUCCUAUUCUGUUGGUCUUCGGGAUGGGAGUAAUGAUUAAGAGGAACAGUUGGGGGCAUUCGUAUUUCAUUGUCAGAGGUGAAAUUCUUGGAUUUAUGAAAGACGAACUUCUGCGAAAGUAUUUGCCAAGGAUGUUUUCAUUAAUCAAGAACGAAAGUUGGGGGCUCGAAGAUGAUUGGAUACCAUCCUAGUCUCAACCAUAAACGAUGCCGACUAGGGAUUGGCGGGUGUUACUUUGAUGACCCCGCCAGCACCUUAUGAGAAAUCAAAGUCUUUGGGUUCCGGGGGUGUAUGGUCGCAAGGCUGUAACUUAAAGGAAUUGACGGAAGGGCACCACCAGGAGUGGAGCCUGCGGCUUA
rnacentral:rRNA from 1 species